UUUCAUGGUUCUUAUGUGCUUCUUGGACCUCUUGCUAAAGAUAUGAACACUUGAGAACCAUGAGACU
ensembl:miRNA gmo-mir-11272 gmo-mir-11272